GGGGGGAGGCGGGAUCCUGGGCUGUGUCCCGGCGCCCUGUGCUCGGGGCCUGUGCUGUUGGAUUGGGGUUCCCGCCCGGCAGCCCCCU
rnacentral:pre_miRNA from 1 species